rnacentral:rRNA from 1 species
GACGAACGCUGGCGGCGUGCUUAACACAUGCAAGUCGAACGGCAAGGCCCUGCUUUUGUGGGGUUCUCGAGUGGCGAACGGGUGAGUAACACGUGAGUAACCUGCCCUUGACUUUGGUAUAACUUCAGGAAACUGGGGCUAAUACCGUAUAGCAUCUCCUGUUGCAUGGUGGGGGUUGGAACGUUUCGGCGGUUGGGGAUGGACGCGCGGCUUAUCAGCUUGUUGGUGGGGUAGUGGCUUACCAAGGCUUUGACGGGUAGCCGGCCUGAGAGGGUGACCGGCCACAUUGGGACUGAGAGACGGCCCAGACGCCUACGGGAGGCAGAAGUGGGGAAUAUUGCACAAUGGGCGGAAGCCUGAUGCAGAAACGCCGCGGGCGGGAUGACGGCCUUCGGGUUGUAAACCGCUUUCGCCUGUGACGAAGCGUGAGUGACGGUAAUGGGUAAAGAAGCACCGGCUAACUACGUG